rnacentral:rRNA from 1 species
UACGAAGGGGGCUAGCGUUGCUCGGAAUCACUGGGCGUAAAGCGCACGUAGGCGGAUUGCUAAGUCAGGGGUGAAAUCCUGGAGCUCAACUCCAGAACUGCCUUUGAUACUGGCGAUCUUGAGUCCGGGAGAGGUGAGUGGAACUGCGAGUGUAGAGGUGAAAUUCGUAGAUAUUCGCAAGAACACCAGUGGCGAAGGCGGCUCACUGGCCCGGUACUGACGCUGAGGUGCGAAGCG